CACCAGGCGUAAAAUACAUUCGGGCUUUGCGCUUCAAAGGCGCUCCUUCAAGGGAGCACCUAGUGCCUGACCCCGGUCAGGCGCAACACCGUCCAAUUGCGGGGACUCCCUAAAGCUCGUGCACACCAAACGGUGCGGGGAAACCCCACCGCGGCCAGGCCAAUCACCUGGGUAUGGUAAAAGCGGCAUGAGAUGAAGGCGCCAGCGCCUGAAAUGGGUGAUCCGCAGCCAAGUCCUACCGAGCCCGGCUCCGAGCCCGGUUCCACGGAUGCAGUUCACAGACUAAAUGGCGGUGGGUUCCAAAUGGAGCUUAAGAUAUAGUCGGACCACCUCGAGAGAGGUUC
rfam:Coccomyxa subellipsoidea C-169, whole genome shotgun sequence.